ensembl:snoRNA U3 Small nucleolar RNA U3
AAGACUAUACUUUCAAGGAUCAUCUCUGUAGUUUGUUACCAGAGAAGUCUCUCUGUAGAGUACUGGAAGCCCCAAGGAGGAGGCACGGGGCUCUCUCCGGAGCGUGAAGCCAGCUCGUGGGUUGCUUUGCUGCAACUGCCACUUGCCAUUGAUGAUCAUUUCUGCCCUCCUUCAGGAGAGCUGGAGGAAGAGGACGUAGUCUGAGUGGC